AUGUACCACACGUGUCCUGCGCCCUGUCCACAGCGACCUAACGACCGCUUGCUACGUGUUGUUAGCC
rnacentral:sRNA from 1 species